rnacentral:rRNA from 1 species
UACGUAGGGUGCGAGCGUUGUCCGGAUUCAUUGGGCGUAAAGAGCUCGUAGGCGGCUGUUCAAGUCGAACGUGAAAACUCGGAGCUCAACUCCGAGCCUGCGUUCGAUACUGGACGGCUAGAGUCUGGUAGGGGGAUCUGGAAUUCCUGGUGUAGCGGUGGAAUGCGCAGAUAUCAGGAGGAACACCGGUGGCGAAGGCGGCAUCCUGGACCGACACUGACACUGAGGAGCGAAAGCCAGGGGAGCAAACGGG